CCUGUCAUCGUCUAGUGGUUAGGACACCAGGUUUUGAAGCACCCAUCUGGGUCUGAAUCAUCUGCGUCCUGGUAACUUGGGUUCGACUCCCAAUGACAGGU
rfam:Puccinia graminis f. sp. tritici CRL 75-36-700-3 supercont2.65 genomic scaffold, whole genome shotgun sequence.